UCUGCCUGCAUGGGAAAAUGUCCUCAAUGCCAAGAUGCUAAGUUGGAAAUUGAGGAGCCUACCCCGCUGCACAGCAUGCUCCUCCUCCUCUCGGGGUGAAGUCACUGCAAAGUGGAGGAGCACUCACUCAAAGCUCUCUCUCUCUCCCUCGCUCUCUUUCUCACCCCCCUCCACGCAUGUCUCGCGUUAACUAACAUUCUUCUUUUCUCUUUUAUAUAUUUAAUUAUCUUCACUUCCUAUUGUCCCUGUGUAACAACUGUCGUCAGCCUCAUUUUGGACCGGGAUCUACACGCAAAUAACUUUUUUUCCUAUUCUGCUAUCGUUAUUAUUAGUUGACACUUAAUGUGACUUGAUAUGGAUGUCUGCCUGCAAUAUGGAUAGCAAGGAUUUAUUUUCCUGUAACAUUUCUUUUGUGUGUCUGUGAGUGUGUAUUUGUGUGAAUUUGGUGCGUGUCAUUUGGACAUUGAACAUAUGCAGUGUUUGUAACAUCUUAUUUGCUUUGCUUGCAUGUGUAAAAUGAAAAUGCGCGUUUUUUUGGGUGUGAAUUUUCCAAGUAUCGUGCAUUGCAUUUAAAAAUGCACGGUAUUUGUAACAGUCUACGACUCAUCUUUACGUUUAACAAUAUUUAUAUAUGUGUAGCCUAUUUUUAAAGCCUGGUUAAAUUUCACAUUUCACAUUUUCUCCCCCCUCCAUCACCAAACUCGUGCAAAAUAUUCUAUUUUAAAAACAUUAACAUUUUGUAUCUGGUUCCACUGUGCAUUUGACUCUGCAGUCAGUCGAGUUCAAGUCUCACUUAAGCCGAAAGGGAUCGCUGUAGGCGCUGCUAAAGCUUUGGAAAGGGGAAAAAACUCCACUGAGCGAGAGAGAGAGGAGGGGGAAAAAAAAGACUGAUGACGCUGGAAGAGUGGGAGCAGCCUUAAAAAAAAAGAAAAAAAAGCAGAUAGGAGGAGGAGGAGGAGGGCUGGAUAAACAAAGCGAGCCCACGGUACCGCCUCCUAAUAACCAGAUGACAGCGGUACCAUCGUGAUGAUGAUACCGAUGAGACCCAGUCCACUUAGACCGCUCAUCCCUGGAACUUCUUCUUCUUUUCAUUUUCCAAGCAAAAACAAUUGCAUCCAGAUCACACGCAUUCAGAACCACUUAAAUGAUGGGAGUUCUUGAUGGUGUCGUCGUUAUGGCAACCGCAUCCAUCUCUGACAAGCACACAGAUCCAAGCUGAGGAAAUCACCCUGCACGCGUUAAUAAGCACAAUUUAACAAUAUUAAAUAUGUAUGACUAUCCCAAUGUCCUAAUUCAUGUGAUUUAAAAUGCCUUCAAUCAAUAAAGCCUGCAUACCCCUCUCA